rnacentral:rRNA from 1 species
UACGUAGGGGGCUAGCGUUGUCCGGAAUCAUUGGGCGUAAAGCGCGUGUAGGCGGUUCGGCAAGUCUGCUGUGAAAGUCGGGGGCUCAACCCUCGAAUGCCGGUGGAUACUGUCGGACUAGAGUGCGGAAGAGGCGAGUGGAAUUCCUGGUGUAGCGGUGAAAUGCGCAGAUAUCAGGAGGAACACCAAUUGCGAAGGCAGCUCGCUGGGACGUUACUGACGCUGAGACGCGAAAGCGUGGGGAGCAAAAGGG